GAUGAACGCUGGCGGCGUGCCUAAUACAUGCAAGUCGAGCGAACAGACGAGGAGCUUGCUCCUCUGACGUUAGCGGCGGACGGGUGAGUAACACGUGGAUAACCUACCUAUAAGACUGGGAUAACUUCGGGAAACCGGAGCUAAUACCGGAUAAUAUAUUGAACCGCAUGGUUCAAUAGUGAAAGACGGUUUUGCUGUCACUUAUAGAUGGAUCCGCGCCGCAUUAGCUAGUUGGUAAGGUAACAGCUUACCAAGGCAACGAUGCGUAGCCGACCUGAGAGGGUGAUAGGCCACACUGGAACUGAGACACGGUCCAGGGUCCUACGGGAGGCAGCAGUAGGGAAUCGUCCGCAAUGGGCGAAAGCCUGACGGAGCAACGCCGCGUGAGUGAUGAAAGUCUUCGGAGCGUAAAGCUCUGUUAUUAGGGAAGAACAAAUGUGUAAGUGACUAUGCACGGCUUGACGGUACCUAAUCAGAAAGCCACGGCUAACUACGUG
rnacentral:rRNA from 1 species